AGAGUUUGAUCAUGGCUCAGGGUAAACGCUGGCGGCGUGCCUAAAACAUGCAAGUCGAACGCACAUCUUCGGAUGUGAGUGGCAGACGGCUGAGUAACGCGUGGGUGACGUACCUGUUGGUGGGGAAUAACUGCCCGAAAGGGUGGCUAAUUCCGCAUACGCCCUGCUCUUCGUUGAACAGGGGAAAGUUUUCUCAAGAGACGCCGAUGGAGCGGCCCGCGUCCGAUUAGCCAGUUGGUGGGGUAACGGCCUACCAAAGCGACGAUCGGUAGCUGGUCUCAGAGGAUGAUCAGCCAGACUGGGACUGAGACACGGCCCAGACUCCUACGGGAGGCAGCAGUUAGGAAUUUUGGGCAAUGGGCGCAAGCCUGACCCAGCAACGCCGCGUGGGUGACGAAGGCCUUCGGGUUGUAAAGCCCUUUUCUGAGGGAAGAUGAUGACGGUACCUCAGGAAGAAGCACCGGCUAACUACGUGCCAGCAGCCGCGGUAAUACGUAGGGUGCGAGCGUUGCCCGGAUUUAUUGGGCGUAAAGGGCGCGUAGGCGGCUCGGCACGUCCGUUGUGAAAUCGCCCGGCUCAACUGGGCGGGGUCAGCGGAUACGGUCGAGCUUGAGCAAGCUAGGGGGCAAUGGAAUUCCCGGUGUAGUGGUGGAAUGCGUAGAUAUCGGGAGGAACACCAGUGGCGAAGGCGGUUGCCUGGAGCUUUGCUGACGCUGAGGCGCGAAAGCGUGGGGAGCGAUCCGGAUUAGAUACCCUAGUAGUCC
rnacentral:rRNA from 1 species